UCCGGUUUGACACCGGCAGUCUCUCAUGAGUCCCCACCAUCACGUGCUGGCAACAUAGAACGAGGGUUGCGCUCGUUGCGGGACUUAACCCAACAUCUCACGACACGAGCUGACGACAACCAUGCACCACCUGUCCACCAGCCCCGAAGGGAAACCCCAUCUCUGAGGCGGUCCGGUGAAUGUCAAGCCUUGGUAAGGUUCUUCGCGUUGCGUCGAAUUAAACCACAUGCUCCACCGCUUGUGCGGGCCCCCGUCAAUUCCUUUGAGUUUCAGCCUUGCGGCCGUACUCCCCAGGCGGGGCACUUAAUGCGUUAGCGCCGGCACUCGGGGGGUCGCUCCCCCAAGCACCUAGUGCCCACCGUUUACGGCGUGGACUAC
rnacentral:misc_RNA from 1 species